rnacentral:misc_RNA from 1 species
GUCUGAAUGCCAGACUCAAACUGAUCAGUCCAUUCUGGAGGAAGAGCAUCAAAAGAACUCUGCCAGUAGUUGGAGAUGUUAGGUUCACAUUCAGAAGGUUCUUUGAAAACCCAUUUAUGACACUUAUCUGAAGCAACUUUUCCCAUUAACCCUUCUCCAUAAUUAUAUAACUGGAUAGACAUUUUGCUGAAAGCUUUCCUGACAGGAUCUUCUCCAUCAAUCUCUUCCAGACAAUCUCCUACUCUUCCUCGACAAAACCCAUCUUCCCACAUCAGCAUCAAGCUCCCAUUAUCGUCUCCAACCUUGCAACCAUUACCACCUCUGACUCUUGGGCGAGGACGGAUAGUCCAGAAGACAGAGUAAGUCCAGUCUGAGUUGAGACAGACGCUUCUAAGGGCCUCAUGAAGGGCCAUCAUCCCAACAGCUUCUUUGCUCCUAUCUGCUCCUCCUGAGCCCACCAUCUCUCUCUCUCUCUCUCUCUCUCUCUAAGUCUUCCUUUGGGUCUGUCUAUAUGUAUGUAUAAAUUAUCUGUAUAUUCUUUCCUUUGCAUCUAAAUUUAGCCCUUAAAACUUAUGCUUCGCACUUGACAAUUAUCCUAAGAAACCCCUUCAGAAGUUUUCCUUCUUUGUUUUCUUUUCUAAAAGAACUCUGUUUCUAUUUCUCUUGACGNNNUUUAAAUCACAAUUCACACUGCAACCGCUCCUAUCUUUCUUUAUAUUAUUAUAAUUCUAACCCAGUUGCCUCGUCAUCAUCCUAUAUAUUUAUAUAUGCUUAUA